GACGAACGCUGGCGGCGUGCUUAACACAUGCAAGUCGAACGGAAAGGCCCUGCUUUUGUGGGGUGCUCGAGUGGCGAACGGGUGAGUAACACGUGAGUAACCUGCCCUUGACUUUGGGAUAACUUCAGGAGACUGGGGCUAAUACCGGAUAGGAGCUCCUGCUGCAUGGUGGGGGUUGGAAAGUUUCGGCGGUUGGGGAUGGACUCGCGGCUUAUCAGCUUGUUGGUGGGGUAGUGGCUUACCAAGGCUUUGACGGGUAGCCGGCCUGAGAGGGUGACCGGCCACAUUGGGACUGAGAUACGGCCCAGACUCCUACGGGAGGCAGCAGUGGGGAAUAUUGCUCAAUGGGCGGAAGCCUGAUGCAGCAACGCCGCGUGCGGGAUGACGGCCUUCGGGUUGUAAACCGCUUUCGCCUGUGACGAAGCGUGAGUGACGGUAAUGGGUAAAGAAGCACCGGCUAACUACGUG
rnacentral:rRNA from 1 species